CUCUGGAAAGAAACACAUUUAGUUGGGGACAGUCUAUAGUUUCAGAGGCUUAGCCCAUUAUUGUCGUGGCCGGAAGUAUAGUGGCAGGCAGGACGACACGAUGCUGGAAAGGGAAUUUUUAGUUCUACAUCUCUAUUUCUAGGCCUCAGUAAGAGAGACACACUGAGUCUGGCUUGAGCAAACCCCAAAUCCCACCGCCAGUGACACCUCCAACAAGACCACACUUCCUGGCAAGUGGUGCCACUCCCUAACGACCAAGCAUUCCAAUCUGUGAGUUUAUGGGGGCCAUUGCUAUUCAAUCCAUCACACUUGGUCUUAAGAGACUUUCUCUACAAAAUGUAAAGUUUUUAUCUUGGAGGAAACUGCUACAUACUGAGAAGUUACUGUGAUUGUGGUGUCUCCUCGCAGCAAUAAAAACCUUAACUAAGACGCCAGGUUUACCUUGAAUAUGUGAUUUUCCCACUUCAACCUCCUGAAUAUGGGGAUUCAGGACAUGUACCACCAUGACUGACUUUCAGUGGCUCUUGAAUCUGUGCCUUCUUUCCCUACAACCGUCACCUGUGAGCUAAGGUGUUGGCCUGCAGUCAGGUGAAGAAGUCAGCUUUCUGCGAUCCAGUGUCGUCCCUACAAGCCCUUGGUUUCUGACGCAGUUGAGAAGAUGAACUCUGUGGCCUGAUAAUCAAGUCAGGCUGGCUUUAGCCCCUGUCCUAGGUAGUCUAGCUGCUGAUUUAACACAGCCCACAGUCAUCUGGAGGGAAAGUCACAAUUGAGAGGAUGUCUGAGACAGAUUGGCUAGGAACGUACCUGUAGGGGAGAGUCUUGAUUAUUAAUUGAUGUAGAAGGAUAAAGGCCACUGCAAGCAGUACCGUCUCUGGGCAAGUGACCCUGCGCUGGAUCAGAAAACACGAGCCUAUUAUGAAACCAGAGAGCAAGCCAGAGCAUAGUGCUCCUUCCUGCUUCUGUCCUGGGCUUCUGCCUUGAGUUGCUGCUCAUGUUGGACUAUAACCUGAAAGUGUAAGAUAGAAUAAAGAUAAAAUAAAGCGUCUCCUUCCCA